UACAGAGGGGGCAAGCGUUAUUCGGAAUUAUUGGGCGUAAAGGGCGCGUAGGCGGCUUGGCAAGUGGAAGGUGAAAUCCCUCGGCUUAACCGAGGAACUGCCCUCCAAACUGCUUCGCUUGAGACCGGGAGAGGUGAGUGGAAUUCCCAGUGUAGCGGUGAAAUGCGUAGAUAUUGGGAGGAACACCAGUGGCGAAGGCGGCUCACUGGUCCAUUACUGACGCUGAGGUGCGAAAGCGUGGGGAGCAAACAGG
rnacentral:rRNA from 1 species